UACGUAGGGUGCGAGCGUUGUCCGGAAUUAUUGGGCGUAAAGAGCUCGUAGGCGGUGUGUCACGUCGGCCGUGAAAACCUGCAGCUUAACUGUGGGCGUGCGGUCGAUACGGGCAUCACUGGAGUUCGGCAGGGGAGACUGGAAUUCCUGGUGUAGCGGUGAAAUGCGCAGAUAUCAGGAAGAACACCCGUGGCGAAAGCGGCUCUCUGGAACGGUACUGACGCUGAGACG
rnacentral:rRNA from 1 species